rnacentral:rRNA from 1 species
AUUGAACGCUGGCGGCAUGCCUUACACAUGCAAGUCGAACGGCAGCACGGGGCAACCUGGUGGCGAGUGGCGAACGGGUGAGUAAUGCAUCGGAACGUGCCAUUGAGUGGGGGAGUAACGUAGCGAAAGUUAGCGCUAAUACCGCAUAUUCUGUGAGCAGGAAAGCAGGGGACCGGCAAGGCCUUGCGCUCUUUGAGCGGCCGAUGUCAGAUUAGCUAGUUGGUGAGGUAACGGCUUACCAAGGCGACGAUCUGUAGCGGGUCUGAGAGGAUGAUCCGCCACACUGGAACUGAGACACGGUCCAGACUCCUACGGGAGGCAGCAGUGGGGAAUUUUGGACAAUGGGCGCAAGCCUGAUCCAGCCAUGCCGCGUGAGUGAAGAAGGCCUCGGUUGU